UACGGAGGGUGCGAGCGUUGUCCGGAAUCACUGGGCGUAAAGGGCGCGUAGGCGGCAGGCCAAGCGUGCGGUGAAAGUCCGGGGCUCGACCCCGGAUCUGCCGUGCGGACUGGUUUGCUAGAGCACUGUAGAGGCGAGUGGAAUUCCGGGUGUAGCGGUGGAAUGCGUAGAGAUCCGGAAGAACACCGAUGGCGAAGGCAGCCCCCUGGGCCGAUACUGACGCUCAGGCACGAAAGCGUGGGGAGCAAACAGG
rnacentral:rRNA from 1 species